GACGAACGCUGGCGGCGUGCUUAACACAUGCAAGUCGAACGGAAAGGCUCCAGCUUGCUGGAGUACUCGAGUGGCGAACGGGUGAGUAACACGUGGGUGAUCUGCCCUGCACUUCGGGAUAAGCCUGGGAAACUGGGUCUAAUACCGGAUAGGACCGCACUUUGGUGUGUGUGGUGGAAAGGUUUUUCUGGUGUGGGAUGAGCUCGCGGCCUAUCAGUUUGUUGGAGGGGUAAUGGCCUACCAAGACGGCGACGGGUAGCCGGCCUGAGAGGGUGGACGGUCACAUUGGGACUGAGAUACGGCCCAGACUCCUACGGGAGGCAGCAGUGGGGAAUAUUGCACAAUGGGGGAAACCCUGAUGCAGCGACGCCGCGUGGGGGAUGAAGGCCUUCGGGUUGUAAACUCCUUUCGCUAGGGACGAAGCUUUUUGUGACGGUACCUGGAGAAGAAGCACCGGCUAACUACGUG
rnacentral:rRNA from 1 species